CUGGAAGGGGUGUAUUUAUCAGAUAAAAAUCAACUUUGUUGGUGAAUCAUAAUAACUUCUCGGACCGCAUGGCCUCGUGCUGGCGGUGCUUCAUUCAAAUAUCUGCCCUAUCAACUGUCGAUGGUAGGAUAGAGGCCUACCAUGGUUGCAACGGGUAACGGGGAAUAAGGGUUCGAUUCCGGAGAGGGAGCCUGAGAAACGGCUACCACAUCCAAGGAAGGCAGCAGGCGCGCAAAUUACCCAAUCCCAACACGGGGAGGUAGUGACAAUAUGUAACAAUAUACGGCCUUAUACGUCGUAUAAUUGGAAUGAGUACAAUUUAAAUCCCUUAACGAGGAACAAUUGGAGGGCAAGUCUGGUGCCAGCAGCCGCGGUAAUUCCAGCUCCAAUAGCGUAUAUUAAAGUUGUUGCAGUUAAAAAGCUCGUAGUUGGAUUUCUGCUGAGGAUGACCGGUCCGCCCUCUGGGCAGGUAUCUGGCUCAGCCUUGGCAUCUUCCUGAAGAACGUAGCUGCACUUGACUGUGUGGUGCGGUAUUUAGGACAUUUACUUUGAGGAAAUUAGAGUGUUUCAAGCAAG
rnacentral:rRNA from 1 species